CCUACGGGAGACAGCAGUGGGGAAUAUUGCACAAUGGGGGCAACCCUGAUGCAGCGACGCCGCGUGAGCGAAGAAGUAUCUCGGUAUGUAAAGCUCUAUCAGCAGGGAAGAAAAUGACGGUACCUGACUAAGAAGCCCCGGCUAACUACGUGACAGCAGCCGCGGUAAUACGUAGGGGGCAAGCGUUCUCCGGUUUUACUGGGUGUAACGGGAGCGCAGGCGGCGCGGUAAGUCUGAUGUGAAAGCCCGGGGCUCAACCCCGGGACUGCAUUGGAAACUGUCGUGCUGGAGUGGCGGAGGGGCAAGUGGAAUUCCUAGUGUAGCGGUGAAAUGCGUAGAUAUUAGGAGGAACACCAGUGGCGAAGGCGGCUUGCUGGACGACAACUGACGCUGAGGCUCGAAAGCGUGGGGAGCAAACAGGAUUAGAUACCCCGGUAGUC
rnacentral:rRNA from 1 species